rnacentral:misc_RNA from 1 species
GUGAAGUUAAAGAAUUCAUUAGAUUACAUGAAUAUAGGAAUGUGUAUAAUAUCCAAUACCCAUAGACAGUAGUCCCAUUCUUCUAAACUAAUCACUAAUUCAAAAUGAAAUUUCUUAAAAGCAUGGAAAUAUAAAACGAAAGUAAAAAAUGAAAUAUUGAGAAACAGGCGUCCCACUGCACAGCAAUACUCAGAAUAUCCAUAAAUUCCUCAGAAGCAGGCGUCCAACACACAGCAACAACAUAGGGCAGCACAACAUCCUUUCCAAAAGCCAUCACCCCUGGAUUUGGCUUGCAGUGGAACAGGCUGUUGGGUCUGAGUCUCACCAUCUUUGGUUGGGUAACCAGCCGGUGGUGGUGCUGCAUAUGCAUCUGCAGCAGGAGGAUAUGCUGUGGCUUGAUUCUGACUCAUUUUUGUAUGAAAGGCUCUUGAGUAUUACUUAUUAGAAGAAGAAGAAAAAAUGGUUGAGAUGAGAGACUUAGGAAAUAUAUGGAAAAUGAAGAUAAAAAUGAGUUGGGAAAUUUGCAAAUUAAUGAGAUAUAUAAAUAUGGAAGGCAAAGGAUCGGUUGCUUCGUAGAGAAGCUAAGCGAGGACGGCGACACCGCGUGGCGACACCGCGUGGGAAAGAAUUAAUUAAUAUUUAGGAUUACCACAAUCAACUGCUCCGGCAACUAAUCUCUUUUGGUUGUGGGCAAC